GACGAACGCUGGCGGCGUGCCUAAUACAUGCAAGUCGAGCGAACCAAUAAGAAGCUUGCUUUUUGUUGGUUAGCGGCGGACGGGUGAGUAACACGUGGGUAACCUGCCUGUAAGACCGGGAUAACUCCGGGAAACCGGUGCUAAUACCGGAUAGAUUAUCGUUCCGCAUGGAGAGAUAAGGAAAGAUGGCUAUUGCCAUCACUUACAGAUGGUCCCGCGGCGCAUUAGCUAGUUGGUGAGGUAACGGCUUACCAAGGCGACGAUGCGUAGCCGACCUGAGGGGGUGAUCGGCCACACUGGAACUGAGACACGGCCCAGACUCCUACGGGAGGCAGCAGUAGGGAAUCUUCCGCAAUGGACGAAAGUCUGACGGAGCAACGCCGCGUGAGCGAAGAAGGUCUUCGGAUCGUAAAGCUCUGUUGUUAGGGAAGAACAGGUUUCGGAGGAAAUGCCGGGACCGUGACGGUACCUGACGAGAAAGCCACGGCUAACUACGUG
rnacentral:rRNA from 1 species